rnacentral:rRNA from 1 species
AAUGAACGUUGGCGGCAUGGAUUAGGCAUGCAAGUCGAGCGGUAAGGCCCUUUCGGGGGUACACGAGCGGCGAACGGGUGAGUAACACGUGGGUGACCUGCCUUUAGCUCUGGGAUAAGCCUGGGAAACUGGGUCUAAUACCGGAUAUGACUCCGCGGUGCAUGCUGUGGGGUGGAAAGCCUUGUGCGGCUGGAGAUGGGCCCGCGGCCUAUCAGCUUGUUGGUGGGGUGAUGGCCUACCAAGGCGA